AGUCAACAUGCCCAGGGGACGUGGAUAACCUCGGGAAACUGAGGAUAAACCACGAUAGGUCAUAAUAUCUGGAAUGAUUUAUGGCUAAAAUCUACAUGGCCCCUGGAUUGGACUGCGGCCGAUCAGGCUGUUGGUGAGGUAAUGGCCCACCAAACCUAAAACCGGUACGGGCUCUGAGAGGAGAAGCCCGGAGAUGGGCACUGAGACAAGGGCCCAGGCCCUAUGGGGCGCAGCAGGCGCGAAAACUCUGCAAUAGGCGAAAGCUUGACAGGGUUAUUCUGAGUGAUUUCCGCUAAGGAAAUCUUUUGGCACCUCUAAAAAUGGUGCAGAAUAAGGGGUGGGCAAGCCUGGUGUCAGCCGCCGCGGUAAUACCAGCACCCCGAGUGGUCGGGACGAUUAUUGGGCCUAAAGCAUCCGUAGCCGGUUCUACAAGUCUUCCGUUAAAUCCAUCUGCUUAACAGAUGGGCUGCGGAGGAUACUAUGGAGCUAGGAGGCGGGAGAGGCAAGCGGUACUUAGUGGGUAGGGGUAAAAUCCGUUGAUCCACUGAAGACCACCAGUGGCGAAGGCGGCUUGCCAGAACGCGCUCGACGGUGAGGGAUGAAAGCUGGGGGAGCAAACCGGAUUAGAUACCCGGGUAGUCCCAGCUGUAAACGAUGCAGACUCGGUGAUGAAUAGGCUUCGUGCCUUUUCAGUGCCACAGGGAAGCCGUUAAGUCUGCCGCCUGGGGAGUACGGUCGCAAGACUGAAACUUAA
rnacentral:rRNA from 1 species